AUACUGCUGAAGAGUCCCAAGUUAGGACGAAACAGCUGUCCAGUAC
rfam:Trichobilharzia regenti genome assembly, scaffold: TRE_scaffold0027515